CACGGGGGUUGCGAGCGUUGUCAGGAAUUACUAGGCGUAAAGGGCAGGCAGGCGGAUCCAUAAGUUUAUUUGUUUAAGGCGUCGGCUUAACCGGCGUAGGGCGGUAGAUACUGUGGAUCUGGAAUGCGGUUGGGGAAGACAGAAUUCCUGGUGUAGCGGUGGAAUGCGCAGAGAUCAGGAGGAAUACCGAAGGCGAAGGCAGUCUUCCAAGCCGUUAUUGACGCUCAACUGCGAAGGUGUGGGUAUCAAACAGGAUUAGAUACCCUGGUAGUCCCU
rnacentral:rRNA from 1 species